AGAGUUUGAUCAUGGCUCAGAGCGAACGCUGGCGGCAGGCCUAACACAUGCAAGUCGAGCGCCGUAGCAAUACGGAGCGGCAGACGGGAGAGUAACACGUGGGAACGUGCCCUUUGGUUCGGAACAACACAGGGAAACUUGUGCUAAUACCGGAUAAGCCCUUACGGGGAAAGAUUUAUCGCCAAAGGAUCGGCCCGCGUCUGAUUAGCUUGUUGGUGAGGUAACGGCUCACCAAGGCGACGAUCAGUAGCUGGUCUGAGAGGAUGAUCAGCCUCACUGGGACUGAGACACGGCCCAGACUCCUACGGGAGGCAGCAGUGGGGAAUAUUGGACAAUGGGCGCAAGCCUGAUCCAGCCAUGCCGCGUGGAUGAUGAAGGCCCUAGGGUUGUAAAGUCCUUUCGGCGGGGAAGAUAAUGACGGUACCCGCAGAAGAAGCCCCGGCUAACUUCGUGCCAGCAGCCGCGGUAAUACGAAGGGGGCUAGCGUUGCUCGGAAUCACUGGGCGUAAAGCGCACGUAGGCGGCUUUUUAAGUCAGGGGUGAAAUCCUGGAGCUCAACUCCAGAACUGCCUUUGAUACUGAGAAGCUUGAGUCCGGGAGAGGUGAGUGGAACUGCGAGUGUAGAGGUGAAAUUCGUAGAUAUUCGCAAGAACACCAGUGGCGAAGGCGGCUCACUGGCCCGGUACUGACGCUGAGGUGCGAAAGCGUGGGGAGCAAACAGGAUUAGAUACCCUAGUAGUCC
rnacentral:rRNA from 1 species